rnacentral:rRNA from 1 species
GAGGUUACUUAACGCAUGGUGUGGAUGCCUUGACUGAAGCAAGCGAUGAAGGACGUAGGAGGCUGCGAUAAGCCCCGGGGAGCUGUCAACCAAGCUUUGAUCCGAGGAUUUCCGAAUGAGGCAACUCUCUCACUUUUUAGUGAGAAACCGUAUCUGAAUACAUAGGGUACGGUAGCGCACCCUGGGAAUUGAAACAUCUUAGUACCAGGAGGAAAAGAAAUUAAUAAAGAUUCCGUAAGUAGUGGCGAGCGAACGCGGAAUAGCCUAAACCACCGAGCUUGCUCGUGUGGGGUUGCAGGGCCUAUAGACUCGAUUGAUCGGGGUCGUCGUAUUUUUGUUAGCAAAAUGUUUUGGAAAGAACAACCAAAGAGGGUAAUAGUCCCGUAUGUGAAAACAAAAAUGCCACGAUGUAUAGGUACCUAAGUAGGGCGGGGCUGGAGAAACCCCGUUUGAAUCUGGGAGCACUAACUUCCAAGGCUAAAUAUUGCUUCAGAUCGAUAGUGAACUAGUACCGUGAGGGAAAGGUGAAAAGUAUCCCGAUAAGGGAGGUGAAAUAGAACUGAAACUCCAUGCUAACGAAGAGUCGGAGCCUUGUUUAAUCAGGGUGACGGCGUGCUUUUUGCAGCACGAUCCAACGAGUUAGUUUUACGCGGCUGUCUAAGGGAUGAUGAAUUCCGGAGACAUAGUGAAAGCGAGCCUUAAUAGGGCGAAACGGAGCAUACACUAAGAAUCUCUUUCGUUGUGAGAGAGAAAAAUAUCGAGCGAAAAUUUUGAAGAGUUUUGAGACGUAGUCAAAGAAAUGUCUACGACGAAAAUCACUGAGAAAUUUGCAGCCGAGAUUUUUAUUUCGCAACAGAAAAUGGAUUUUUAGUGUAUGCUCCAAGGUCGCGUGGACUAGACCCGAAGCCAGACGAGCUACAUAUGAGCAGGAUGAAGCGUCGGUAAAACGACGUGGAGGUCCGCACCCACUUGCUGUGCAACUCAAGGGGAUGACUUGUGUGUAGGGGAGAAAUUCCAAUCGAGUUUGGCAAUAGCUGGUUCUCUCUGAAAUAGCUUGAGGGCUAGCGUCUUGUAAAUUGUAUCCGAGGGGUAGAGCUACUGGAUGAGAAUUCGCGGUUUACCGUAGUGUUUUCAACCAAACUCCGAAUACUCGCGAUAUGUACCAAGGCAGUCAGUACUCCGGGGCUAAGCUCGGAGCACAAAAGGGAAAAAGCCCAGAUCGUCAGCUAAGGUCCCAAAAUUUGUAUUAAGUGGGAAAGGAAGUGAAGACUCUUAGACACUUAGGAGGUUGGCUUAGAAGCAGCAAUCCUUUAAAGAGUGCGUAAUAGCUCACUAAUCUAGAGUCUUCGCGCCGACAAUUUAACGGGGCUAAAAUACAAUACCGAAGCUACGGACUGUAUCGCAAGAUACAGUGGUAAGAGAGCGUUCCAUAUGCACUGAAGCAGAAGGGUGACCGACUGUGGAGCGUAUGGAAGUGAGAAUGUUGGAAUGAGUAACCGCAAUGAGGGUGAGAGCCCCUCACAUCGAAAGUCCGAGGUUUCCUGGGCCAUGGUGAUCAUCCCAGGGUUAGUCGGUCCUAAGGCCAGGCUGAAAAGCGUAGUCGAUGGACAUCAGGUUAAUAUUCCUGAACUAUUUGUAUAUUCGAAGGAGAGACGCAUCUCUGUACCUUUUGCCCCUUAUUGGAUUGGGGUUUGGUCUUCGAGGACGUCGUACAGGAAAAUCCGUACGGCACUAGUCCAAGAAGAAUGACGAAGUCUUACUACGGUAAGAUGAAGAAAAGGGAGCGGGGUGCCAGGAAAAUCUUCUAAGGUUCGUAUACAAGUAUCCGUACCGCAAACCGACACAGGUGGACAGGGCGAGUAGCCUAAGAUGAACGGGAGAGAAUUCGUUAAGGAACUCGGCAAAAAAGCUAGACGUAAGUUCGCAAUAUGUCUUGCCAACCGUUAGGUUGGCCGCAGCAAAAGUUUUCCAAGCAACUGUUUAUCAAAAACACAGGUCUCUGCAAACCCGCAAGGGGAAGUAUAGGGGCUGACACCUGACCAGUGCUGGAACGUUAACGGGAGCGGUGCAAGCCAAUCCCCGAAGCGCCAGUGAACGUCGGCGAUAACUAUAAUCGUCCUAAGGUUCUGGUUCUGUGAAGAACGGAAUCAGAAGGACUGGGACGAUUGUGGUGAGUGUGAUAAAGAGGAAAGAACAAAAUAUUACAAACAAGGAAAAGUAAUUGCUUCUAUUGAAUUGUUUCAAUGGGUCCAAAAUACUUAGCCAUAUGCUGGAAACUCUGGAGUAUCUGAUGAUACUAUGGUAUAAUUAUUCCAUAGAAUAAAAUAUGCCAAGUAAAAAAUCAAUCAGUGUGUCUCACUCUUGUAGUAGUGGAACGCCAGACAAUCAGCAGGAAAGACUAAAAACCAUAGGCUGGAUAACCGGUUAUGUAGAUGGAGAAGGUUGUUUCUCCGUGAGUUUUAUUAAAAAUGCUACCACAAAGAGUGGUUGGCAAAUAUUUCCAGAAUUUGUGGUAACACAAGGAGGGAAAAGUAAGAAUUCACUUGAAAUAAUCCAAAACUUCUUCGAAUGUGGAAAGAUAUUUGUGAAUCGACGAUAUGAUAAUCAUCGAGAACAUAUAUAUCGUUACUGUGUUCGAUCACAAGAAAAUCUUCGAAAAAUAAUUAUUCCAUUUUUUGAAGAACAUCAACUCCGAACAGCUAAAAAAGAAGACUUCAAACAUUUUUCUUUUAUUCUGCAUCAGAUGAAACUUAAAAAACAUCUCACAGAAAAAGGAAUGAUGGUGAUUGCAAAACGAGUUGAGAAAAUGAAUCACAAGAAAUCUUCGAGGUUUUUAGAAUCCUCAGAGACCAAACGCUAAGCUCGUGCAAACGAGAAAAGAGAGUCCGUGCUUAUCGGCGACGAUAAGAUAACAUAACAGAGCGAAAUUCCUUGUCAGGUAAGUUCUGACGCGCAUGAAAGGUGUAAUGACUUGGAAACUGUCUCAACGAACAUCCCGGUGAAAUUGCAAUGACGGUAAAGAUGCCGUCGACCUACAGCUAGACGAAAAGACCCCAUGGAGCUUUACUAUAACUUGGUAUUGACUUAAAGUUUUUGCUGCCGAGCAUAGGUGGGAGACUAUGAAGCACUCUUUCAGGAGAGUGUGGAGUCAUCACUGGAAUACCACUCUGCAAAGAUUUUAAUUCUAACCUACGGCCAUUAUCUGGUCGGGGGACAGUGCCUGGUGGGUAGUUUGACUGGGGCGGUCGCCUCCUAAAGUGCAACGGAGGCGUUUACAAAGGUUCUCUAGACCCGGAUGGAAAUCGGGUCGAUAGCGCAAAAGCAUAAGAGAGCUUUACUGAGAGACCGAUCAGUCGAUCAGUUACGAAAGUAGAAUUUAGUGAACCGACCAUUACUCGUAGGAGUGUGGAAGAUCAUCAGAUAAAAGUUACCCUGGGGAUAACAGGCUGAUCUUGCCCAAGAGUCCAUAUCGACGGCAAGGUUUGGCACCUCGAUGUCGGCUCAUCACAUCCUGGGGGUGGAGAAGCUCCCAAGGGUUUGGCUGUUCGCCAAUUAAAGUGGUACGUGAGCUGGGUUCAAACCGUCGNNNNNNNNNNUAAAGUGGUACGUGAGCUGGGUUCAAACCGUCGUGAGACAGGUUGGUUUCCUAUCUGCUGUAGGCGUGUGUUGCUUGAGAGAACUCUUUCCUAGUACGAGAGGACCGGAAAGAACGAACCUCUGGUGUAUCUGCUGUUCCGCCAGGAGCAUCGCAGAGUAGCUACGUUCGGGUAGGAUAACCGCUGAAAGCAUCUAAGCGGGAAGCCAAGCUCAAGAUAAGGCAACAGUACAAGUUUACUUGUACAAAAUUUCCUAGAAGAUUACUAGGUUGAUAGGCUGCAGAUGUAAGUCCUGAGAGGGAUUCAGUCAAGCAGUACUAAUAAAUUUAUU